CAAACCUAAGGCCCUGCCUUGCGUUGGCGCCGUCCGUCCGCGGACGCGCCGAAACACCUCGGGCGCCCUCCUGUUCCCGGCAGCGUAGCAAGUCGUCGCUGCUUGGUCCCGGCGAGGGCAGCCGAUACCCACGA
rnacentral:misc_RNA from 1 species